AAUCCAUAGUAUGGACAUUGAAAUAAAAGUAAUUUGAAGCGAUCCCAUAUUUCAUGAAAAGAUUCAGCAUUUUUUUUAUUAAAAAUUAGAAAUUUUAGCUCUUAAUUCU
rfam:Ricinus communis cultivar Hale ctg_1100012324219, whole genome shotgun sequence.